GGGCUAUAACUUAAUAGGUAAAGUGUACUGCUCAUAACAGUACUGCGGUAUUCCCGUUACGGUAAACAGUUGUAGCCCA
rnacentral:tRNA from 1 species